GCAUCUUCACACUUUACUUACCUCAUUGCUUCUCGAAGUGCCCCACGUUCACUAAGAGUCGUAUGCUUGAUGUCAUCAAAAUUAUUUUCCAGCAUCUCACAGUUCUGCAAUAAAUGGAAAAAUCCAGAUUAGAUUCUUAAGCAGCAUUCUAGCAUCAUAAAUUAUAUUCACUGUAGUGCAAACAUAACUGAUUUAUAUUGUUUAUAUAUUCACACAAAUUAUGCAUUCUCUUUUAAUUGCAUAGAAGUCAUUAAAAGCGACACUGUGAAUUCCGUAACAAAGUAAGAACAAAAGCUUAUGAUACGGUUGUCCUGGAAAUCCUUUUAUCAGUGUUCUAUAGUGUGGUAUAUAGAAUUUUCUUCUAUAUCAAUUUUUUUUAAGGAAUAACAGAUGUGUUCUUUUGCAGUAAAAAAUACUACAAAACUACUAUUAUAUCUAACAGGCUAACUUAUAAAUGUGGCAAAGUAGAAAUACCAUAUGCUGAAUUUAGACAUCAGAAUCUAUACAUUAAAUUCUGUACAAUGAAACAUUCCGUAUUACAUGAAAAGACUAAUCAUCCUAAAUUCUAUGAGUUUCAAACUUUAAAAUAGUGUGUUUAUAAAGAUAUCACAACAGCUGAUUAAGUUUCUUUUUUCCAAACUGAAGAAGCAAAGGCUCUAGUAUUUCCAAAUGAAAAGAUUCUAGUAUUUCCAUUUCAUUAAAAUGAAAUUAGCAAUUC